AUACGUAGGUGGCAAGCGUUGUCCGGAAUUAUUGGGCGUAAAGCGCGCGCAGGCGGUCCUUUAAGUCUGAUGUGAAAGCCCUCGGCUUAACCGAGGAGGGUCAUUGGAAACUGGAGGACUUGAGUGCAGAAGAGGAAAGCGGAAUUCCAUGUGUAGCGGUGAAAUGCGUAGAGAUAUGGAGGAACACCAGUGGCGAAGGCGGCUUUCUGGUCUGUAACUGACGCUGAGGCGCGAAAGCGUGGGGAGCAAACAGGAUUAGAUACCCUGGUAGUCCACGCCGUAAACGAUGAGUGCUAAGUGUUAGGGGGUUUCCACCCCUUAGUGCUGCAGCUAACGCAUUAAGCACUCCGCCUGGGGAGUACGGUCGCAAGACUGAA
rnacentral:rRNA from 1 species